rnacentral:rRNA from 1 species
GAGGGGUAACGGAAGUAGCUUGCUACUAGACGACGACCGGCGCACGGGUGAGUAACGCGUAUGUAAUCUGCCUUGUACAGAGGGAUAGCCCAGAGAAAUUUGGAUUAAUACCUCAUAGUAUUACUGAAUCGCAUGAUUUGGUAAUUAAAGCUCCGGCGGUACAAGAUGAACAUGCGUGACAUUAGCUAGUUGGUAAGGUAACGGCUUACCAAGGCUACGAUGUCUAGGGGUUCUGAGAGGAUGAUCCCCCACACUGGUACUGAGACACGGACCAGACUCCUACGGGAGGCAGCAGUGAGGAAUAUUGGUCAAUGGACGCAAGUCUGAACCAGCCAUCCCGCGUGAAGGAUGACUGCCCUAUGGGUUGUAAACUUCUUUUAUAUGCAAAUAAACCUACUUUCGUGAAAGUAGCUGAAGGUAGCAUAUGAAUAAACACCGGCUAACUCCGUGCCAGCAGCCGCGGUAAUACGGAGGGUGUAAGCGUUAUCCGGAUUUAUUGGGUUUAAAGGGUACGUAGGCGGUAAUAUAAGUCAGUGGUGAAAUCCUGCAGCUCAACUGUAAAACUGCCAUUGAAACUGU